AUGUGGGAACUCCUUCAAGACUGUUGGAAAAGCAUUCCUCAUGAAGCAGCUACUUUGAAGAAUCUCAAAUAUAAAAUAGAUUUAGUUUUUGAAGAUCUACGUUCCAGCUUAUAUUUUGUCAAUGCAUCUUUGCAAGAGGUAGUGUUUGCCAGCACCACAGGGACCCUGGUGCCCUGUCCCGCUGCAGGGGUGCCCCCCGCCUCGCUGCGCUGGUACCUGGCCACUGAAGAGGAGAUCUACGAUGUGCCCGGGAUCCGCCACGUGCACCCCAAUGGCACUCUCCAGAUCUUUAACUUCCUCCCCUCCAGCUUUAGUAAGCUUAUCCAUGACAAUACCUACUAUUGCACAGCUGAAAAUCCUUCAGGGAAAAUAAGAAGUCAAGAUGUCCACAUUAAGGCCGUAUUUCGGGAACCCUACACGGUUCGGGUGGAGGACCAGAAAGCCAUGAGAGGCAAUGUAGCGGUCUUCAAGUGCAUUAUCCCAGCCUCCGUGGAGGCUUACGUCACUGUCGUAUCGUGGGAGAAAGACACAGUCUCACUAUCCUCAGGACCUAGAGUUCUCAUCACAACCACAGGAGCCUUGUAUAUUCUGGAUGUCCAGAAUGAGGAUGGACUGUAUAACUACCGCUGUACCACACGGCAUCGCUACACUGGCGAGACCAGGCAAAGCAACAGCGCCCGGCUUUUUGUGUCAGAUCCCACUAACUCAGAGCCGGGGAUUCUGGAUGGCUUUGACCGUCGGGAGGUCAUGGCGUCCCAUCGGGUAGAGCUGCCCUGUAAGGCGUCGGGCCAUCCCAUGCCCAAGUACCGCUGGCUGAAGGACAACAGCCCCCUGGAGCCCGACACACGUUUCCGCCAGAGUGUCACGGGCUUGCUGAUAGAGAGCGCCCAGCCCACCGACUCUGGCACCUACGUGUGUGAGGUGUGGAACAGCUAUGGCAACGCUGAGGUGGUGGGCCGGCUGCUGGUCAAACAGCCCCUGAAGGCGGUGGUCAGCCCACGAAAGGUGAAGGGCAGCGUGGGUAGUAAGGUGUCCUUGCAUUGCAGUGUCAGUGGCUCUGAUGAGUACGAGCUGUCCUGGUACCGUAACGGAGAGAUCAUCUACCCCGGCAACAACGUGCGGAUCACAGGCAUCAGCAGGGAGAACCUGAUCAUGGAGGGCAUGGCCAAGAGCGACGGAGGGGCCUACCAAUGUUUCGCCAGGAAGAACAAAAUGUCCGCUCAGGAUUUUGUUCCGGUCAUCUUGGAGGACGGCACUCCAAAGAUUCUGUUCUCCUUCAGUGAGAAGGUGGUCAACCCCAACGAACCGGUCUUCCUGGUGUGUAACGUCAAAGGCACUCCCCCUCCCUCCUGCACCUGGAACCUGGACGACGACCCGGUCAUCAAGGACAACCACCACCACCCUGGCCACUACGAGACCAAUGAGGGCCACGUGGUCAGCCAGCUGAACAUCACUCACACCAAGGAGGUGGACGGAGGGGUGUAUCGCUGCACCUGCAGGAACUCGGCCGGGGCGGUCUACCACCAGGCUCGAAUAAACGUAAGAGGGGCUGCCAGCAUCCGUCCAAUGAAAAACAUCACGGCCAUCGCAGGGCGGGACGCGUACGUCCACUGUCGCGUUAUUGGCUACCCGUAUUAUUCCAUCAAGUGGUAUAAGAACUCCCACCUGCUCCCCUUCAACCACAGGCAGCGGGCCUUCGAGAACAACGGCACUCUGAAGCUGUCUAACGUGCAGGAGCUGGACCAGGGAGAGUACAAUUGCAGGGUAUUGGUCAAACCUCACCAAGAGACCAAUCAGAGCGUCCAUCUCAGUGUCAAAGUUCCACCGUACAUCCAGCCCUUUGCAUUCCAGCGGUUCUCCAUUGGCCAGCGUGUCUUCAUCCCCUGCGUGGUAAUGUCAGGUGACCAGCCCCUGGACAUCACAUGGCAGAAGGACGGGCGGCCAAUCCCUGCCAGUCUGGGGGUCACCAUCGACAACAUAGAGUUCACCAGCUCACUGCGGAUCUCCAACCUGUCCCCAGACCACAACGGAAACUACACCUGCAUUGCACGCAACGAGGCUGCAGCCGUUGAGCACCAGAGUCAGCUCAUUGUCCGGGUUCCUCCCCAGUUUGUGGUGCAGCCCACAGACCAGGAUGGGAUCUAUGGCAAAACUGUGACCCUCAACUGCUCUGCUGAGGGUUAUCCACGCCCCACCCUCGUAUGGAAGCACUCCAAAGGUAACGGGGUUCCCCAGUUCCAGCCCAUCGCCCUGAACUCUGGCUCCCGUAUCCAGCUGCUGGUCAACGGCUCUCUGCUCAUCAAACACGUGCUGGAGGAGGACAGCGGCUACUACCUGUGUAAGGUCAGCAACGAUGUGGGAGCUGACGUCAGCAAGUCCAUGUACCUCACCGUCAAAAUCCCGGCCAUGAUCACGUCGUACCCCAACACCACCAUGGCCACGGUGGGCCAGCAGAAGGAGAUGAGCUGCACGGCCCACGGGGAAAAGCCCAUCAUGGUGCGCUGGGAGAAGGAGGAACGCAUCAUCAACCCAGAGACCAGCCGCUACACCGUCGUGGUCAAAGAGGUGGCUGACGAGGUCAUCUCCACUCUGAAGAUUUUGCCCACUGUUCGGGAAGAUUCUGGAUUCUUCUCCUGCCAUGCAAUCAACUCCUAUGGUGAAGACAGAGGGAUCAUUCAGUUAACAGUGCAAGAACCUCCAGACCCUCCCGAGGUGGAGAUCCGAGAGGUCAGAGACCGGACAAUCGCCCUCCGCUGGACCAUGGGCUUCGACGGAAACAGCCCUAUCACAGGAUAUGACAUUGAGUGCAAGAACAAAUCAGCCUCGUGGAAUUCAGCCCAGAUAACAAAAGACGUGUCCCCCCAGCUGAACCAGGCCACCAUUAUAGACCUGCACCCCUCCUCCACCUACAACAUCCGCAUUUUCGCCAAGAACGACAUCGGCAAGAGCGACACCAGCAACGAGCUCACUAUCACCACUGACGAAGCAGCCCCCGAUGGCCCUCCACAGGAAGUACAACUGGAGGCCACCUCUCCACAAAGCAUCAAAGUCACCUGGAAGGCCCCCCACAAGCACCUUCAGAACGGGGUGAUCCGGGGCUACCAGGUGGGUUACAGAGAGUACAGCUCUGGAGGCAGCUUCCAGUUUAACAUCAUCAGCAUGGACACCACAGGGGACAGCAGCGAGAGCAUCACCCUGGACAACCUGAGGAAGUUCACUGAGUACGGGGUGGUGGUGCAGGCGGCUAACCGUGCUGGCACCGGGCCCUCCUCUCAGGAGGUCAUCACCAAAACACUGGAGGAUGUCCCCUCGCGUCCCCCUGAGAAUGUCCUGGCCAUGGCCAAGUCUCCAGAAGUCAUCUCUCUGUCCUGGUUGACCCUGCCCAAAGAGGCCCUGAAUGGAAACCUGCAGGGCUACCGAGUCAUCUACUGGGCCAACCUGGCAGAUGGAGAGUUGGGAGAGAUCAGGAACGUGACCACCUCCUACCCAUCUCUGGAACUGGAUGGUCUGGAGAAAUACACCAACUACAGCAUCCAGGUUCUGGCCUUCACCCGGGCAGGGGACGGGGUGCGCAGCGAGCAGAUCUUCACCCGGACCAAGGAAGACAUCCCUGGGCCUCCAGCGGGGGUUAAGGCCGCAGCCUCCACCAGCUCCGUGGUGUUUGUGUCCUGGCUCCCUCCUCUCAAACUCAACGGCAUUAUCAGGAAGUACAUUGUCUUCUGCUCCAACCACCCCACGGUGAUGAGUGAGUUUGAGGCUUCUCCUGAUGUGUAUUUCUACAGAGUGCCAAACCUGGCCCGCAACAGGAAGUACAGCAUCUGGGUGGUUGCCGUGACAGCCGCUGGGCGAGGCAACAGCAGUGAGACCAUCACAGUGGAACCUCGGGCCAAAGCUCCGGCCAGGAUCCUGACGUUCAACGGAACAGUGACUACACCCUGGAUGAGGGACAUCGUCCUGCCCUGCAAGGCGGUCGGAGAUCCACCCCCCACCAUCAAGUGGCUGAAGGGAAACAAUGGUACCCCUGCUCCUGUUCUGAUUGACGGACGCCACAGUGUCCAUAGCAACGCUAGUUUCAUCAUCCGGACGGUGAAAGCAGAGGACUCUGGGAACUACAGCUGUGUGGCCAGCAACAACUGGGGCUCUGAUGAAAUCACGCUGAACCUACAGGUUCAAGUUCCUCCAGACCAACCACGCCUCACAGUUACCAAGACAACUACCACGUCAAUCACUCUGUCCUGGAUACCUGGGGACAACGGAGGAAGCUCCAUCAGAGGCUACAUCCUGCAGUACUCAGAGGACAACAGUGAGCAGUGGGGCAGCUUUCCCAUCAGCCCUAGCGAGCGCUCGUACCGUCUGGAGAACCUGAAGUGUGGCACCUGGUACAAGUUCACCCUGACUGCUCAGAACGGAGUGGGCCCCGGACGCAUCAGUGAGAUCAUUGAAGCGAAGACCCACGGAAAAGAGCCCCAGUUUGCCAAAGAACAUGAGCUGUUUGCCAGCAUCAACUCCACCCGGGUCAGGCUCAAUCUAAUUGGGUGGAACAAUGGUGGCUGCCCAAUCACCUCGUUCACCCUGGAGUACCAUCCGAUGGACACGGCAACGUGGACCACGGCUCAGCGCACCUCGCUAACCAAGAGCUACAUCCUGUAUGACCUGGCGGAGGCCACCUGGUACGAACUGCAGAUGAAAGUGGUCAACAGCGCCGGCUCCGCCGAGAAGAAGAUCAUGUUCGCCACGCUCAACGCCGAUGGAAGCACCAUCCCUCCUUUGUUGAAGACAGUGGACCCCAUCACAGACAACAUGUCAGGCAACGAGGGGCUGAAGAUGAUGGUGACCAUCACCUGUAUCCUGGUGGCUGCUGUCAUGGUCUUCAUCCUCCUGAUGGUACUGAAGAGGAGGAGGAGGGAGCAGAGGCUCAAGAGGCUACGCGAUGCAAAAAGCCUGGCAGAAAUGCUGAUGAGUAAAAACACACGGACACCAGACACAUCCAACAAGCAGCAGACCAUGAGAAUGCACAUCGAUAUCCCCCGAGCCCAGCUGCUCAUCGAGGAGAGAGAUACUAUGGAGAUUAUUGACGACAGGUCGACGGUGCUGCUGACUGAUAAUGACUUUGGGGAGACGUCCAAACAGAAGUCGUCCACGGUCACGCACACAGUCCAUUACCAGUCCCUGUCGCAGGCCACCGGCCCACUGGUGGACGUCUCUGACGCCCGGCCUGGAACCAACCCCACAGCACGCCGCACUGCCAAAGCAGGCCCUGCAGCCAGCAGGAACCGCUAUGCCAGCCAGUGGACUCUGAACCGGCCACAACCACCCACCUCCUCCCACACCCUGAGCACAGACUGGAGACUGCCCACACCGCGCGCCACCGGCUCUGUGGACAAGGAGAGCGACAGCUACAGCGUCAGCCCAUCGCAGGACACAGACCGCGCGCGGAGCAGCAUGGUGUCGACGGAGAGCGCGUCGUCUACGUACGAAGAGCUAGCCCGGGCCUAUGAGCACGCCAAGAUGGAGGAGCACCUGCGGCACGCCAAGUUCACUAUCACAGAGUGCUUCAUCUCCGACACCUCCUCAGAGCAAAUGACGGCCGGCACCAACGAGUACACAGACAGCCUAGCAUCUAGCACGCCUUCUGAGUCAGGCAUCUGCAGGUUCACCGCCUCCCCGCCCAAGCCUCAGGACAUCAGCCGGGUCAUGAACAUGGCCGCACCAAAGGCCCACAGACCGGGUGGAGAGCUGGUGCACCUGCCCCCGUACCUACGCAUGGACUUCCUGUUAAACCGUGGCUCUGUGUCGGGAGGCCGGGGGUCCAACGGUGGUAACGGAGGAGGGGAGGCAGGGGCGUUGGGCCAGGCGUGUCUGGAGCCCCAGAAGAGCCGCACCCUGAAACGGCCCCCGCUCCUGGAGCCCACACCCAUGGAGGUGCCCACGUCCAGGGAGGUGCAGCAGUGGCAGCCAGGGACUGCCUCCACACUGCCCCAGCGUGAGCCCACUGGCCGUGAGGCCACCGGAGAUCUGGCCCAGGCACAGGCCGCCAAGCUCAGCAGCUCACAGGAGUCCCUGCUAGACUCCAGAGGACACUUAAAACAGAGCAACAACCCCUACGCAAAGUCCUACACACUGGUAUAACACAAGGAGUUACGUUACACACUCCAGGACUUGGACUGUAUACUGUACUGCAGCUCUACACAGAGAGCUGGCAUGGAACAAUGAUGAUGAUGGACACUUUUCAACAACAACUGAAGUUGUAUAUUUCUGACUCCAAGUAUUCCUUUCUUUUGUUCUUUCUCCCUUCUUUCCACUUCUGGCUCUCUCAUUUCUCAGUUUUAUUUUCUAUUUUGAGUAUUAUUUUAUUCUAAACACCAUAUGAAGAUUGCCAAAUAAUGUAUUUAAAUUUGACAGAGAAAAAUACUAUUGAAUUUAUAUCAAGGAUAAUUACAGUCAUUAUUAUUAUAUAUAAAAAUAUAGAAAUGUCUAAAAACAAGAAGAAGAGGAGGAGGACUCUGCAGGAGGAUGUUGCUUUCUUCAUUUAUUUAUUUUGUAUGUCGCAGUGUGAUCAAAUCGAUGAUUAGGUAUCUGGCCGUUUUUCAACAACGAGAGGAGCCAAGGAAAAGAACUCCAUUAAAGCUGAACCUGUCUGUCCAUGCUGUCUACUCAAUCUCCUCAGAUAGAUUGUUACUACGUUCUUCAACCUUUCCAAUGACUGCAUGGGGACUGAUCUAUGACAAUUAUAGGAAUGGCUGGGAAAUCCAAAAGAGAAUUUUGUCACACUAUGAAAAUUAUACAAUGUGAAUAUAUAUAAAAGAGAUCACUUUUAUUUGUGGAUAUUACAGGGGAAAUGAUUUGGUUAAUAAAGUCCUUAGUCAUGUUUGCA
ensembl:lncRNA Down syndrome cell adhesion molecule homolog